CAAAAGACAAACUCCUGCAUAAUACAUUGAUAACAUGUUUUGCCAACCUUAAGAGUAAAUGCUUAAAUAUAAGUGAAACCAAAAGCAAUUUAAAAGGCAUGUGGCUCAGUUAAAAAAUUUUGUUAAUGCCCUAUUUUCUAAUUGGCACCUCUUUUGAUGCCUAAGCAGGUAAGCAGAUGGCUAAGGUGUAUUUCUCCAAAUAAAUCAAGAUGAAGUACUGCCCAAGUUAAAUAUUGAUAACCUAAAGACAAAUUUAUGUAUAUAUGAAUUUAAAGCAUAAAAUUAAAUUGUUUCCCC